AGCUUUGCGCAGUGAUGAUAGCGUAACCAAUGAGGUUAUACUGAGGUGCGAUUAUUGCUAAUUGAAAAAAUAAAUCGUAUUGAAUAGUGUAUCAUGUUUUCUACAAGAAAUUUAGAACAGUUUCAUUCUGAUAAUAGU